rnacentral:rRNA from 1 species
CAGCAGCCGCGGUAAUACGUAGGUGGCAAGCGUUGUCCGGAAUUAUUGGGCGUAAAGGGCUCGCAGGCGGUUUCUUAAGUCUGAUGUGAAAGCCCCCGGCUCAACCGGGGAGGGUCAUUGGAAACUGGGAAACUUGAGUGCAGAAGAGGAGAGUGGAAUUCCACGUGUAGCGGUGAAAUGCGUAGAGGUGUGGAGGAACACCAGUGGCGAAGGCGACUCUCUGGUCUGUAACUGACGCUGAGGAGCGAAAGCGUGGGGAGCGAAUAGGAUUAGAUACCCGGGUAGUCCCUGUCUCUUAUAC